rnacentral:rRNA from 1 species
AACGAACGCUGGCGGCGCGCCUAAUACAUGCAAGUCGAGCGAGAAGGUGUAGCAAUACACUUGUAAAGCGGCGAACGGGUGAGGAAUACAUGGGUAAUCUACCAUCGAGUGGGGAAUAACCAACCGAAAGGUUGGCUAAUACCGCGUACGCCUCCGAGUCUUCGGGUUCGGAGGGAAAGCUGCACUGUGAGUGUAGCGCUCUUUGAUGAGCUCAUGUCCUAUCAGCUUGUUGGUAGGGUAACGGCCUACCAAGGCUUUGACGGGUAGCUGGUCUGAGAGGACGAUCAGCCACACUGGCACUGCGACACGGGCCAGACUCCUACGGGAGGCAGCAGUAAGGAAUAUUGCGCAAUGGGCGAAAGCCUGACGCAGCGACGCCGCGUGGGGAUGAAGGUCUUCGGAUUGUAAACCCCUUUCGGGAGGGAAGAUGGAACGAGCAAUCGUUCGGACGGUACCUCCAGAAGCAGCCACGGCCAACUUCGUGCCAGCAGCC